rnacentral:rRNA from 1 species
UACGUAGGGUGCGAGCGUUGUCCGGAAUUACUGGGCGUAAAGAGCUCGUAGGUGGUUUGUCGCGUUGUUCGUGAAGACUCACAACUCAAUUGUGGGCGUGCGUGCGAUACGGGCGGACUGGAGGCCAGUAGGGGGAUGCGGAAUUCCGGGUGUAGUGGUGGAAUGCGUAGAGAUCCGGAGGAACACCAGCGGCGAAGGCGGCAUCCUGGACUGGUCCUGACACUCAGGAGCGAAAGUGUGGGGAGCGAUCCGG